GAAUUCGCCCUUGGGGAAUUUUCCGCAAUGGGCGAAAGCCUGACGGAGCAAUACCGCGUGAGGGAGGAGGGCUCUUGGGUUGUAAACCUCUUUUCUCAGGGAAGAACAGAAUGACGGUACCUGAGGAAUAAGCAUCGGCUAACUCCGUGCCAGCAGCCGCGGUAAUACGGAGGAUGCAAGCGUUAUCCGGAAUGAUUGGGCGUAAAGGGUCCGCAGGUGGCAUUGUAAGUCUGCUGUUAAAGAGUUUGGCUCAACCAAAUAAGAGCAGUGGAAACUACAAAGCUAGAGUGUGGUCGGGGCAGAGGGAAUUCCUGGUGUAGCGGUGAAAUGCGUAGAUAUCAGGAAGAACACCAGUGGCGAAGGCGCUCUGCUAGGCCGAGACUGACACUGAGGGACGAAAGCUAGGGGAGCGAAUGGGAUUAGAUACCCCAGUAGUCCUAGCCGUAAACGAUGGAUACUAGGCGUAGCUCGUAUCGACCCGAGCUGUGCCGGAGCUAACGCGUUAAGUAUCCCGCCUGGGGAGUACGCAGGCAACUGUGAAACUCAAAGGAAUUGACGGGGGCCCGCACAAGCGGUGGAGUAUGUGGUUUAAUUCGAUGCAACGCGAAGAACCUUACCAAGGCUUGACAUGUCACGAAUCCUAUUGAAAGAUGGGAGUGCCUUCGGGAGCGUGAA
rnacentral:rRNA from 1 species